GGUAAGAAUAUCUUACUGAAGAUCUCUGACUUUCUGAGGCUUUCUCAAGCUACUUCCUUCAUCUGGAAGGUUCCAGAUCUGUAACUUGUAGGAAACCCUAUUCGAAGUUUCUCUUCCGCUUCAAAUUCUCCUUACAGUGCAGCAUGUGAUUCAUUAGAGUAAAAACCAUUCCAUGCAUCAAGUUGCGGAUCAGCCUGCGGUUCCUUUUCUGCAGUUUUUUCCAAGUGCGUUUUCUAAUAUGUAGACUGUGCAAGUUAAGAUGUCAUCUGGAACGUAAAAAUCAGGAUAAAUGACCAUGUGUGUAUCCAGUCAAUAUGUGGGAUUUAAAACAGCAAGCAAUGGAUAAAAGAAGCAUGUAAAAUGGCCUAUUGUAAGAGUGAAGAGAAAUAUAGCAGCAAUUCUAACCUUUAUUCUCACUGUUGUGGCAUGAUCACUGUUUUAGUUGCUGCAUAGCACUUUGAGAUUAAAGUCAGCAAUGCAGACAGCGUGUGUUUCACUUAGGAAUGCAAUAUAUACCGCCUUAAAGGUGGCCUAUGAUUGAGCUCUCUCAAACAAUUACUAGGUAUGAAAUGAAUUGUUUGCUCUCACUUAGAUACGAUGUUCAAUUAAUAGAGUUCUAUUAACAUUCAGCUUGGAGAACAUGACAGGACUCAUCAGUUAAUUGACUGUUUAGUAGAUUGUUGUAUUUGAAGAUCUGAAAUGAACUGUUCUUCACACUUAAUGAGCUGGAGUAUUUUAAAUUGGAAAAAUGUUUGCCACAGUGCUCCAGCUGUUUCCAUUAUAAAUGCCUGGGGACCCCUCUAGUUUAAUUUGUUAUGCUCUCAUUUAAUGUUCACGACAACGUAUUUUAAAUGGUAACAUAUGGAUCAGGAGGAAAAAUGAAGAAUCUUCUGUAAAAGAUGGUUUAAAGACUGAACAGAUCUGUGUUUCAGCCCUGAGAAAGCCUUGAAGUAGAUAUUAAAAGCAAGUUGUUUAUGGUGGGUGAUAAACCUCAUGUCAGAGACACACCACAGUUUGGAAAAGGUGCUUGUGCUCUAUAGAAGUCAUCUGCUUGGGGACUUUUUGCACCAGAGAACCUAUGCUUGGGAUGUUGUGGUUUUUAUUAGGUAGGAGGAGGCAGUGGAAAAAACUUCAUAUGCAUUUUGGAUGUAAUCCUAAAAUGUGUCCUGGCUUCUGGAAAAAAAAAAAGCAUGCAAGGCUGUUUUUCUCAUUAGAUUAACUUUGCAAGUGUUCAAUCAGAGUUUACGUCUAGGAGGAGCUAAAAUACCUGCAAAGCAGUGGUGGGAGGAAUUGAUUGUUACCACCUAAUUUAAAGUUCCUUCCUUGCAUUGGGAAAUGAUGUGCAAGCACAUAGAAGUUCCCCUGCCUAGGA